GCGGGGGUGGCCCAGCCUGGUACGGCGCGGGACUGCUAAUCCCGUUGGGCAACGCCCAGCCCGGGUUCAAGUCCCGGCCCCCGCGCCA
rnacentral:tRNA from 3 species